rnacentral:rRNA from 1 species
GAAACGACUGCUAAGACUGGAUAGGAGACAAGAAGGCAUCUUCUUGUUUUUAAAAGACCUAGCAAUAGGUAUGCUUAGGGAGGAGCUUGCGUCACAUUAGUUAGUUGGUGGGGUAAAGGCCUACCAAGACUAUGAUGUGUAGCCGGGCUGAGAGGUUGAACGGCCACAUUGGGACUGAGACACGGCCCAAACUCCUACGGGAGGCAGCAGUAGGGAAUUUUCGGCAAUGGAGGAAACUCUGACCGAGCAACGCCGCGUGAACGAUGAAGUAUUUCGGUACGUAAAGUUCCUUUAUUAGGGAAGAAUAAAUGAUGGAAAAAUCAUUCUGACGGUACCUAAUGAAUAAGCCCCGGCUAACUAUGUGCCAGCAGCCGCGGUAAUACAUAGGGGGCAAGCGUUAUCCGGAAUUAUUGGGCGUAAAGGGUGCGUAGGCGGUUAAAUAAGUUUAUGGUCUAAGUGCAAUGCUCAACAUUGUGAUGCUAUAAAAACUGUUUAGCUAGAGUAAGAUAGAGGCAAGUGGAAUUCCAUGUGUAGUGGUAAAAUGCGUAAAUAUAUGGAGGAACACCAGUAGCGAAGGCGGCUUGCUGGGUCUUUACUGACGCUGAGGCACGAAAGCGUGGGGAGCAAACAGGAUUAGAUACCCUGGUAGUCCACGCCGUAAACGAUGAGUACUAAACGUUGGGUAAAACCAGUGUUGAAGUUAACACAUUAAGUACUCCGCCUGAGUAGUACGUACGCAAGUAUGAAACUUAAAGGAAUUGACGGGACUCCGCACAAGCGGUGGAUCAUGUUGUUUAAUUCGAAGGUACCCGAAAAACCUCACCAGGUCUUGACAUGCUUCUGCAAAGCUGUAGAAACACAGUGGAGGUUAUCAGUUGCACAGGUGGUGCAUGGUUGUCGUCAGCUCGUGUCGUGAGAUGUUGGGUUAAGUCCCGCAACGAGCGCAACCCUUAUUGUUAGUUACCAGCACGUAAUGGUGGGGACUUUAGCAAGACUGCCAGUGAUAAAUUGGAGGAAGGUGGGGACGACGUCAAAUCAUCGUGCCCCUUAUGACCUGGGCUACAAACGUGAUACAAUGGCUGUUACAAAGGGUAGCUGAAGCGCAAGUUUUUGGCGAAUCUCAAAAAAACAGUCUCAGUUCGGAUUGAAGUCUGCAACUCGACUUCAUGAAGUUGGAAUCGCUAGUAAUCGCGAAUCAGCAUGUCGCGGUGAAUACGUUCGCGGGGUUUGUACACACCGCCCGUCA